ensembl:lncRNA
GAAGCAGCUUAGAAAACAAGGUUUUAUUGGCUGCUCUGUUCAGGCUGGAGGAAGGGGAGACAGACCAUCAGCUCAUGUUCAAUUCCAGUAUUGUUCAUCUAACAGCCUUACAGCAAGUCAGUGACAUGCACCUGCCCUGAGUUGCACACUGAAACCCUGUGUGGACAUGAGGACACUACACGAAGCAUGGUGUUAUCUCAGUGCUGCCCUGUGGCCCGUCAGGUAGUGGUGACUCAGGAGCCAGAGAACGGGACAUUGCCGAGGGGUAAGGUGGCACAGACUAAAUACCAGUGAGAAGAGAAAGAAGUAUGUUUGCAAAAGAAGAAAGGAUCUGUCUUUUCCUGAUACUUACCUAGGAUGAGGACCUUCUGAUCUUGCUGCAUGGCUUCUUCUGUUUUUUUUUUUUCUAUACAGUGUCUUUACAGUUUGCUCAGUAAAGCACUGUAACCUGGCUUCUUCUCAUGCACCGAAGUGAGCACAUACAAAUCAUUAGAGCAUAAUAUACUUACUGAUUAGGUAAUAACAUGGCAAGGCAAGUAAAAGAUUUUAUGACAAAUUUAAAUAGCAGUGGAAUAAAGUUCAAGGGACUGGGGAUUAAGAAAAGGGAUUUCAUCUGUUUGAAGUAGAUAGUGGUCAUUAAACUGUCCCCUGGGAGAUUUGCUCAGCCUUGAAUAGUAGGAGCAUGUUUGUGCAUGCAUGAAUAGCCAUACCUUCUUUGUCUUAAUCAUAUGUGAUCUCAAGCAGUUGCUAAAUUGUGCCUCCCUCUUGUGCCUGCCUCCCACCCCCUUAUUUCACUAGAUUAUUUGUUCUGCUUAUGGGCUUAUAAGUGGGAAAUAUAACUUAAUUGACAGAGUAUGCUAUAUUUAACAUAGCAACAUACUGAAACACAAUCAUACAGGGAAAAACAAUGAGAACCAACUCAUCAGUAAGGUUCAUUGCUGCCAGCCACAUCCAUUCUUUUUUCCUUUCUUUGUGUUUCCUACAGUGACUACGGUUAUAAGGAGGUGAAGGGAAAACUGUUCCAUAAUAAACACUGUAUAGAUGCUUUGUGCAUAAGACCAUGUCUCCCCAGUUCUGUAAAUUUGAAGCAUCCAAGUUUGUACAUCUGGUUGUGCUCAUUAGAAUGCUCCAGCAAAAACUCUUACUGGAACCACACUGAUAACUCCCAGUGCAAUUAAAAAAAAAAAAAGUGUUGCUUCAUUCCUUGAGUGCAUCUUUUCUAAGCCAUGCAAUUUUUUGCAAGUGCACUGGGAUUUAUUUUGAAGCACAUCUUGACUUUUAAUAAAUUUAUUAAAGUGCUUUAAAACAUAUCAUAGCUAAUUUUUUAUCUCCCACAAAUCCAUCACUUUGUGUUACUUGUAACUAAUCUUUUUCCAUAUGAGAGAGAAAAUAGCUCAAAUAUCUCAAUGGCAUGUUUUCCUUUUAAUUUUCCAGGUAGUCCAUGUUUAAGGCAAAAUAAAUAAAUAAA